AUCCAGCUGACGAGCCCGGAAUGGGGCGAAAUGUGCGGUCCUGGAU
rnacentral:hammerhead_ribozyme from 1 species